rnacentral:rRNA from 1 species
UACAGAGGUCUCAAGCGUUGUUCGGAUUCAUUGGGCGUAAAGGGUGCGUAGGUGGCGCCAUAGGUCAGGUGUGAAAUCUCGGGGCUCAACCCCGAAACUGCACUUGAUACUGUGGUGCUGGAGUACUGGAGAGGAGAUUGGAAUUUACGGUGUAGCAGUGAAAUGCGUAGAUAUCGUAAGGAAGACCAGUGGCGAAGGCGAAUCUCUGGACAGUUACUGACACUGAGGCACGAAGGCCAGGGGAGCAAACGGG